rnacentral:rRNA from 1 species
GAUGAACGCUGGCGGCGUGCCUAAUACAUGCAAGUCGAGCGAACGGACGAGAAGCUUGCUCCUCUGAUGUUAGCGGCGGACGGGUGAGUAACACGUGGAUAACCUACCUAUAAGACUGGGAUAACUUCGGGAAACCGGAGCUAAUACCGGAUAAUAUUUUGAACCGCAUGGUUCAAAAGUGAAAGACGGUUUUGCUGUCACUUAUAGAUGGAUCCGCGCUGCAUUAGCUAGUUGGUAAGGUAACGGCUUACCAAGGCAACGAUGCGUAGCCGACCUGAGAGGAUGAUCAGCCACACUGGAACUGAGACACGGUCCAGACUCCUACGGGAGGCAGCAGUAGGGAAUCUUCCGCAAUGGGCGAAAGCCUGACGGAGCAACGCCGCGUGAGUGAUGAAGGUCUUCGGAUCGUAAAACUCUGUUAUUAGGGAAGAACAAAUGUGUAAGUAACUGUGCACAUCUUGACGGUACCUAAUCAGAAAGCCACGGCUAACUACGUG